UCCGUAGGCGGGCAAUUAAGUCAGAGGUGAAAUCCCACAGCUCAACUGUGGAACUGCCUUUGAUACUGGUUGUCUUGAGUUAUAGUGAAGUAGAUAGAAUAUGUAGUGUAGCGGUGAAAUGCAUAGAUAUUACAUAGAAUACCGAUUGCGAAGGCAGUCUACUAACUGUAUACUGACGCUGAGGAACGAAAGCGUGGGGAGCGAACAGGAUUAGAUACCCUGGUAGUCC
rnacentral:rRNA from 1 species